UGAGCAGCACGAACAAAUCGUCUGCAUGUCACAAGAAUCGAUCAGGUCAAAAGAAGCAGCAAACCACACAAAAAUGAGAAGGGGGAGAGAGUCAUAAUUUAGUCAUUACCUAAGAAAACAUUUGGCUGUGGGGGCUGUCAUUUCAAACUUCAAGUAAUUCAAAACAGCUGAUUCCAUUUCCAGAACCUCCUCUCUAAAAUAGGUGUUAUCUGUAAUGUAGCAGAACUCUUCCACCUGCGGCGCACAAAUUUCCUCAUAUUUUGCAGCAAUCAUCAUGCAAGCGACACCAAGCAGCUGCAGUCUUUGCCUGUUCAUCACAUUCCCUGACAGAUACCGAUCUAUGUAGUUCACAGUCAAAAACAAUGUAUCAGGCACAAGCCUAUACUCUUCAGCCACCUCCACCAGCCAAUCAAUGAGUAUUGCACGCAUGCUGGAAUUUAUAUCUUUCUGAAUUCUUUCCAUAAAGUCUGUGGAAGGCCUUUUCUUCGUCUCUGAUGCACGCAAAUGCUUGUAAAUAUCACAAGCAAUUGUGGCACAAAGCUGUGGGUCCUGAUAAUUGUCAUCAAGGUUAACAAUUUUAUCAUCUGUUUCCAUAUCAGCAAGUAUAUCUCUGCAGCACACAUUUUCUGCUGUUUGCACAUGGUCUGAGAUGUAGAGAUUGCUGAGUGUUUUCUUAUUGAUAAAAUCAAUUGCUGGAAUAUCAUUGUUGUCCAUAUACUCAACUUCAGGGCUCUUAAAAGAAUCACAAGUUGACAUUGUCUCAUCCAAGGAGAUUGAAAUUCCAUCUGAUUUAGUAGGAGAGACAUCCAUGCUGCAUGUAGCAGGAUCAACAGCGAUUCCAGAGAGAGCCUCAUCACUUCUUGGCACAGAUGUAAAAUUACAUACACCAAUUGCACUUGGUUUCGCAUUUGAAGAUGAAGGUAAAUUGCUCCCAGAGAAGCCUGUGUUGAUGGUGCAAGCAGGAGGUCCCUUUUUCACCUUAGCAAUUUUAUUUGAACAUGGUGCCAAAGUAGACGAUGGAAUCGAAGUUCUUGACCCCUUUUGAGGCGCAUUCUUUUGAUUUGUGAUAUCGCCAAGAGGAGCCCGCUUUCUCGCCAAAUGGGUUGCGGCCGUCAUGGCCUUCCCCACAUUCUCCGACGACGUCGAAGACGACGCGUGUCGUUUCGCCAGAGAUGACGUGGUUGAGGAAGAAAACGAUGGGCGGCGAGUCUGAGUAGACAUUUUCUAAGAAAAACCCCCAAGAAACAACUCUCUCCCUCUCAACUCAAAAAUAGUGAAGAUAGAGAAAUAGAGUAAUUAAAAGGAGAAUUGUUUGGAUUUUGAAAGGCAAAAAUUAAAUGAUUUUAUUUGGGGUUCUUUUGCAGAGAGUUUCUUUCCUUUCAGAGACAGAGAGAGUGAGAGAUCGCGUGUUUUGUUAUUUAACAUUUGCCUAUUGAUUUUGAGGCGGGGGAAGGGAU
rnacentral:misc_RNA from 1 species